rnacentral:rRNA from 1 species
AACGAACGCUGGCGGCAUGCCUAACACAUGCAAGUCGAACGAGACCUUCGGGUCUAGUGGCGCACGGGUGCGUAACGCGUGGGAACCUGCCCUUAGGUUCGGAAUAACUCCCCGAAAGGGGUGCUAAUACCGGAUAAUGUCCUCGGACCAAAGAUUUAUCGACUUUGGAUGGGCCCGCGUUGGAUUAGCUAGUUGGUAGGGUAAAAGCCUACCAAGGCGACGAUCCAUAGCUGGUCUGAGAGGAUGAUCAGCCACACUGGGACUGAGACACGGCCCAGACUCCUACGGGAGGCAGCAGUGGGGAAUAUUGGAAAAUGGGCGAAAGCCUGAUCCAGCAAUGCCGCGAGAGUGAUGAAGGCCUUAGGGUUGUAAAGCUCUUUUAUCCGGGAUGAUAAUGACAGUACCGGGAGAAUAAGCUCCGGCUAACUCCGUG